rnacentral:rRNA from 1 species
CCUACGGGUGGCAGCAGUGGGGAAUAUUGGACAAUGGGGGGAACCCUGAUCCAGCCAUGCCGCGUGUGUGAAGAAGGCCCUCGGGUUGUAAAGCACUUUCAGUGAGGAAGAACGCCUGGUGGUUAAUACCCAUCAGGAAAGACAUCACUCACAGAAGAAGCACCGGCUAACUCCGUGCCAGCAGCCGCGGUAAUACGGAGGGUGCGAGCGUUAAUCGGAAUUACUGGGCGUAAAGCGCGCGUAGGUGGCUUGAUAAGCCGGUUGUGAAAGCCCCGGGCUCAACCUGGGAACGGCAUCCGGAACUGUCAAGCUAGAGUGCAGGAGAGGAAGGUAGAAUUCCCGGUGUAGCGGUGAAAUGCGUAGAGAUCGGGAGGAAUACCAGUGGCGAAGGCGGCCUUCUGGACUGACACUGACACUGAGGUGCGAAAGCGUGGGUAGCAAACAGGAUUAGAUACCCGUGUAGAC